UUAAGCGACUAAGCGUACACGGUGGAUGCCCUGGCAGUCAGAGGCGAUGAAGGGCGUGCUAAUCUGCGAUAAGCGCCGGUAAGGUGAUAUGAACCGUUAUAACCGGCGAUACCCGAAUGGGGAAACCCAGUGUGACUCGUCACACUAUCAUUAACUGAAUCCAUAGGUUAAUGAGGCGAACCGGGGGAACUGAAACAUCUAAGUACCCCGAGGAAAAGAAAUCAACCGAGAUUCCCCCAGUAGCGGCGAGCGAACGGGGAGGAGCCCAGAGCCUGAAUCAGCAUGUGUGUUAGUGGAAGCGUCUGGAAAGGCGCGCGAUACAGGGUGACAGCCCCGUACACAAAAGCGCAUGUGUUGUGAGCUCGAUGAGUAGGGCGGGACACGUGGUAUCCUGUCUGAAUAUGGGGGGACCAUCCUCCAAGGCUAAAUACUCCUGACUGACCGAUAGUGAACCAGUACCGUGAGGGAAAGGCGAAAAGAACCCCGGCGAGGGGAGUGAAAAAGAACCUGAAACCGUGUACGUACAAGCAGUGGGAGCACCCUUCGGGGUGUGACUGCGUACCUUUUGUAUAAUGGGUCAGCGACUUAUAUUCUGUAGCAAGGUUAACCGUAUAGGGGAGCCGGAGGGAAACCGAGUCUUAACCGGGCGUUAAGUUGCAGGGUAUAGACCCGAAACCCGGUGAUCUAGCCAUGGGCAGGUUGAAGGUUGGGUAACACUAACUGGAGGACCGAACCGACUAAUGUUGAAAAAUUAGCGGAUGACCUGUGGCUGGGGGUGAAAGGCCAAUCAAACCGGGAGAUAGCUGGUUCUCCCCGAAAGCUAUUUAGGUAGCGCCUCGUGAACUCAUCUCCGGGGGUAGAGCACUGUUUCGGCUAGGGGGCCAUCCCGGCUUACCAACCCGAUGCAAACUGCGAAUACCGGAGAAUGUUAUCACGGGAGACACACGGCGGGUGCUAACGUCCGUCGUGAAGAGGGAAACAACCCAGACCGCCAGCUAAGGUCCCAAAGUCAUGGUUAAGUGGGAAACGAUGUGGGAAGGCCCAGACAGCCAGGAUGUUGGCUUAGAAGCAGCCAUCAUUUAAAGAAAGCGUAAUAGCUCACUGGUCGAGUCGGCCUGCGCGGAAGAUGUAACGGGGCUAAACCAUGCACCGAAGCUGCGGCAGCGACGCUUAUGCGUUGUUGGGUAGGGGAGCGUUCUGUAAGCCUGCGAAGGUGGCCUGUGAGGGUUGCUGGAGGUAUCAGAAGUGCGAAUGCUGACAUAAGUAACGAUAAAGCGGGUGAAAAGCCCGCUCGCCGGAAGACCAAGGGUUCCUGUCCAACGUUAAUCGGGGCAGGGUGAGUCGACCCCUAAGGCGAGGCCGAAAGGCGUAGUCGAUGGGAAACGGGUUAAUAUUCCCGUACUUGGUGUUACUGCGAAGGGGGGACGGAGAAGGCUAUGUUGGCCGGGCGACGGUUGUCCCGGUUUAAGCGUGUAGGUGUGUGUUCCAGGUAAAUCCGGUUCACUUUAACACUGAGGCGUGACGACGAGGCACUACGGUGCUGAAGCAACAAAUGCCCUGCUUCCAGGAAAAGCCUCUAAGCAUCAGGUAACACGAAAUCGUACCCCAAACCGACACAGGUGGUCAGGUAGAGAAUACCAAGGCGCUUGAGAGAACUCGGGUGAAGGAACUAGGCAAAAUGGUGCCGUAACUUCGGGAGAAGGCACGCUGACACGUAGGUGAAGUGAUUUACUCACGGAGCUGAAGUCAGUCGAAGAUACCAGCUGGCUGCAACUGUUUAUUAAAAACACAGCACUGUGCAAACACGAAAGUGGACGUAUACGGUGUGACGCCUGCCCGGUGCCGGAAGGUUAAUUGAUGGGGUCAGCGCAAGCGAAGCUCCUGAUCGAAGCCCCGGUAAACGGCGGCCGUAACUAUAACGGUCCUAAGGUAGCGAAAUUCCUUGUCGGGUAAGUUCCGACCUGCACGAAUGGCGUAAUGAUGGCCAGGCUGUCUCCACCCGAGACUCAGUGAAAUUGAACUCGCUGUGAAGAUGCAGUGUACCCGCGGCAAGACGGAAAGACCCCGUGAACCUUUACUAUAGCUUGACACUGAACAUUGAGCCUUGAUGUGUAGGAUAGGUGGGAGGCUUUGAAGUGUGGACGCCAGUCUGCAUGGAGCCGACCUUGAAAUACCACCCUUUAAUGUUUGAUGUUCUAACGUGGACCCGUAAUCCGGGUUGCGGACAGUGUCUGGUGGGUAGUUUGACUGGGGCGGUCUCCUCCUAAAGAGUAACGGAGGAGCACGAAGGUUGGCUAAUCCUGGUCGGACAUCAGGAGGUUAGUGCAAUGGCAUAAGCCAGCUUGACUGCGAGCGUGACGGCGCGAGCAGGUGCGAAAGCAGGUCAUAGUGAUCCGGUGGUUCUGAAUGGAAGGGCCAUCGCUCAACGGAUAAAAGGUACUCCGGGGAUAACAGGCUGAUACCGCCCAAGAGUUCAUAUCGACGGCGGUGUUUGGCACCUCGAUGUCGGCUCAUCACAUCCUGGGGCUGAAGUAGGUCCCAAGGGUAUGGCUGUUCGCCAUUUAAAGUGGUACGCGAGCUGGGUUUAGAACGUCGUGAGACAGUUCGGUCCCUAUCUGCCGUGGGCGCUGGAGAACUGAGGGGGGCUGCUCCUAGUACGAGAGGACCGGAGUGGACGCAUCACUGGUGUUCGGGUUGUCAUGCCAAUGGCACUGCCCGGUAGCUAAAUGCGGAAGAGAUAAGUGCUGAAAGCAUCUAAGCACGAAACUUGCCCCGAGAUGAGUUCUCCCUGAGACUUAAAGUCUCCUGAAGGAACGUUGAAGACGACGACGUUGAUAGGCCGGGUGUGUAAGCGCAGCGAUGCGUUGAGCUAACCGGUACUAAUGAACCGUGAGGCUUAACCUU
rnacentral:rRNA from 1 species